rnacentral:pre_miRNA from 1 species
UUAACUCAAUUUUGUAAGAAGUUGGAACGUUUGACGCUGGGGGCGCUAUUUCAACUGCAUAAAAAUUUGAGUUA